AUUGAACGCUGGCGGCAUGCUUUACACAUGCAAGUCGAACGGUAACAGGCCGCAAGGUGCUGACGAGUGGCGAACGGGUGAGUAAUGCAUCGGAACGUGCCCAGUCGUGGGGGAUAACGCAGCGAAAGCUGCGCUAAUACCGCAUACGAUCUAUGGAUGAAAGCGGGGGACCGAAAGGCCUCGCGCGAUUGGAGCGGCCGAUGUCAGAUUAGGUAGUUGGUGGGGUAAAGGCUCACCAAGCCAACGAUCUGUAGCUGGACUGAGAGGACGACCAGCCACACUGGGACUGAGACACGGCCCAGACUCCUACGGGAGGCAGCAGUGGGGAAUUUUGGACAAUGGGCGCAAGCCUGAUCCAGCAAUGCCGCGUGCAGGAAGAAGGCCUUCGGGUUGUAAACUGCUUUUGUACGGAACGAAAAGGCUCUGGUUAAUACCUGGGGCUCAUGACGGUACCGUAAGAAUAAGCACCGGCUAACUACGUGCCAGCAGCCGCGGUAAAAC
rnacentral:rRNA from 1 species